rnacentral:rRNA from 1 species
UACGGAGGAUGCAAGCGUUAUCCGGAAUCAUUGGGCGUAAAGCGUCCGUAGGUGGCGUUUCAAGUCUGCGGUCAAAGCACAAGGCUUAACCUUGUAAAGGCCGUGGAAACUGAAAAAGCUAGAGUGCGGUAGGGGUAGAGGGAAUUCCCAGUGUAGCGGUGAAAUGCGUAGAGAUUGGGAAGAACACCGAUGGCGAAGGCAGCCAUCUGGACCGACACUGACGCUGAGGCGCGAAAGCGUGGGGAGCAAACAGG